rnacentral:lncRNA from 1 species
UAGCUUGUCAUGCAAGGUUGUCUGGAUAGAUAAUUCAGUCAUACGCAAUGCUCAUUCCCGAGAGUAUAGGCUACUUCCUAUAUGUGAUCAUGUCAUAAGUAGACCAUUUCAUGGUUCUCGUUUGAUUGAAGUGUUGAAGCUAUUUCCCGAAUGCAAAGGUGCAUCUCAAAGGAAUUUCCCAAAGUUAAAGAUGGAAGCAUCAUCUCAAGAACUCCAGCAUUGCAUUGACCCGAAUCCUUUGAACAAGUUGAAGAGUUUCGGGGCAGAGACCGGAGCUUCUAUUUCAUCACAUUGCAGCUCACUCCAACAAGUAGCAGCACAAAGUGAUGGAAAAUGUAGUGAGAAGCCAUUGAAUGGGAAGAAAUUUCUGGUUGUUGAAGAUGAUGCUAUAGUGCUUAAGGUAACUAGUGCUGUUCUCGGGAAACUUGGAGCAAAAUUUGAAGUUUGCAGAAAUGGGAAAGAGGCCUUUGAUCAUGUAUGCAAAAUUUUAAGUGAUUUAAGGAAGGAAGGAAAGGCUCUGCCUUAUGAUUAUAUUAUGAUGGAUUGCGAGGUAAUUCUACAAACUUUAUCUCAAAAGCAUUAAUCUUGUUUGGGGGAUAAUAAUAUCUGGGAUACUACAUGUAUUAUAGUAAACUUGUAAUUUUUUUUUUUCCCCAACUCGACAGAUGCCUGUAAUGAAUGGAUGGGAAGCAACGAGAUUGAUAAGAAAAGAGGAAGAACAACCCCAACUCGACAGAUGCCUGUAAUGAAUGUAGUAAACUUGUAAUUUUUUUUUUUCCCCAACUCGACAGAUGCCUGUAAUGAAUGGAUGGGAAGCAACGAGAUUGAUAAGAAAAGAGGAAGAACAAUAUGAUGUUCAUAUCCCAAUAAUAGCAUUAACAGCUCAUGCAAUGGCUGGAGUAGCAAGCAAGAUUGUUGAUGCUGGAAUGGACUUUCAUUUAAC